rnacentral:lncRNA from 1 species
GUCUUACUUUUGAUCUAAGAAAGACAAGUGUGGACCCCGCAUUUCGGCUCAUGCGUUUCCCACUCGAUGGCGAGCUCGAUUUUGAUUUGAAAAAUUGAUUUUUUGUUGAUUAUUUGAAAAUGACUUGGAGUCGCCACUUAUUUUUGUUUUAUUUUUAAAGGGUAAACAAAAUAAGAAAGAAAAACCCUAAGUGUGACUCCUUACUUUGGAAAAGGUGGUCUGUGAAAAACCGGAUUGAGUUCGGGGGUCAGGUUACUUAUCAGGAAGGUACGGUAAGGACCGUAGCACCCCUCUAAGUCCCUAAAGUGGGUCUCUACUAAUAAAAUGAAGCAAUCAUGACAAUUGAUUAAUCGAGCGUGAUACCAAAUGAAUAUUACUCAAAACAAAAUAAUUGAAUGAAGGAGAGGCAAAGAAUGUACCUGAGUGAUGAACCGAUUUACUUCAAUGAAAGCGAAUGUUAGCAAUUAAACACAGAAUAAUCACAUGCAUGUCAUAGAGUGGAAUAAAUAAAUCAUGUAUGAUAACCAAGUCAAUCAAUCAAAUCAAUCCAUAGAUCAUAAGAUCAAGCAUGUGAGGCCCCCACCAAAGCCCGAUUAAUCUUGCAUGAAUUAAUCUCACAAAUUCCAUUGUUCCGAAAUUAUGAAAAUGACAUUCAUGCUUAUAUAAAAUUAAGAGAAAAAAAAAAAGAUUAUUUGAAAACCAAAGUGGAAUUAAAACUGUUCGAGUG